rnacentral:rRNA from 1 species
AUUGAACGCUGGCGGCAGGCCUAACACAUGCAAGUCGAGCGAGCGGCGGACGGGUGAGUAAUGUCUGGGAAACUGCCUGAUGGAGGGGGAUAACUACUGGAAACGGUAGCUAAUACCGCAUACCAUCAGAUGUGCCCAGAUGGGAUUAGCUUGUUGGUGGGGUAACGGCUCACCAAGGCGACGAUCCCUAGCUGGUCUGAGAGGAUGACCAGCCACACGGGAACUGAGACACGGUCCAGACGCCUACGGGAGGCAGCAGUGGGGAAUAUUGCACAAUGGGCGCAAGCCUGAUGCAGCCAUGCCGCGUGUAUGAAGAAGGCCUUCGGGUUGUAAAGUACUUUCAGCGGGGAGGCGUUACCCGCAGAAGAAGCACCGGCUAACUCCGUGCCAGCAGCCGCGGUAAUAC